rnacentral:lncRNA from 1 species
GCGUGUAUAUAUAGACCUCGUAUGAGUGCCGUAACCACAAGCACUGCUAGCUCUAAUAUACAUCUUUCUCUACUUCUUGCGUUCUUCCCCGGCAGGUUGGUUGGCAAUUUGGCAUAUGUGUUUAUUUCUGCCUUUGUUAGUUUACUUGUAUUAUUAGUUUCCCUUGAACUACAUACAUACGUAUUACAGCAGCUUAAUUUGAAGUUAUACAUAUAUAUAUUCUUUAAUUUGUUUCCAAAAAUAUAGAGUUUUAUUUUACAUGUUCGUGUCAACUGACCAUCCAGCAAUGCCCACUAUCUCGCGUUGCGAAGAAAGGACGGUUGUUGAUGGCGUCGGAAGAGCCAUGCCGGGCCGAGUGCCGACCGAGUGGCCGAACCUGGUGAACACGCCGUAUUAUACGGCGCACCAAAUCAUCUGCACCGAGCGGCCGGACGUGUACAUCGAAGAGUAUGCAGAUGGUGAAGCCGUACAACCAGGCCCACGCGACGAGAAGCGUGUCCGUGUCUUCAUCAAUCGUAACUUCGUAGUUGUCCCUCCGAUGCCGGAAGUUGGCUAACCUGUCCUGUUUUGGGGUGUUUGUUCUUUAGCUAAAGUUUAAUCCGUGUCACAUCGAAUCUUCGGAUGCUAAUUAGGAGAAUUAAAUAUGAGUUAAUUAUAAAACUAAUUGCACAGAUAGAGGCUAAACGGUGAGACGAAUCUAUUAAACAUAAUUAGUCUAUGAUUUGACAAUGUGCUGCUACAGUAACCAUUUGCUAAUGUUGGAUUAAUUAGGCUUAAUAGAUUCGUCUCACUAUUUAACCUCCAUAUGUGCAAUGGGUUUUGUAAAUAGUCUAUGUUUAAUACUUCUAAUUAGUAUCUAAACAUUCGAUGUAACAUGUGCUAAAAUUUAGAGGUGGGAAUCAAACACCCUCUUAAUGGACUCCAUGAUUUAUGCCUUUGGUAUAUCAAUCAAGUGAAUAAGGCGAGCAAGUGUGAGAUAUGGGUCGUCGUGCGCAGGUAUCUAGAGUGUAUCUGGAGCUGCUCGAAUGUUUGACUCAUACAUGUAUGUAGUGUGAUGAUCUAUAUCAUAUGUUUUGAUAAGUAUACAUGAGAGAAGAAUUACUUAGCUAGAACAAAAUUUCUACCCAAUAUUAAAGUGCGG